GCCUGGGUGGCUCAGUUGGUUGAGCAACCGACUUCGGCUCGGGUUGUGAUCUCACGGUCCGUGAGUUCAAGCCCCGCGUCAGGCU
rnacentral:tRNA from 1 species